AAAAAAGGAUGCGCGGUAGAGGAGCAAUGUGCAGAGGCAGAAGCCGUAUCGAGAGGCACGGUGGACACUGCACAAGAGAGAAUGCCGGUAUGAGUAGCGAGAGGCAUGCGAGAAACAUGCCCGUCGAAAGCCCAAGGUUUCCUGGGGAAGGUUCAUCCGCCCAGGGUAAGUCGGGGCCUAAGCCGAGGACGGAAGUCGUAGGCGAUGGACAGCAGGUGUAGAUUCCUGCACUACCGAUGGAAUGAAGCAGUGACACAGAAGGAUAACUCGAGCAGGGUGAUGGUCAACCCUGUGCAAGCAUUGAGGUUGGGUUGUAGUGAAGUACGCAAUCCUAUAAGCUGAGAUGUGAUGCGGACCGAAAUUUCAGUAGGGAAGCGAGUGAGUUCACGCUGGCGAGAAAAGCUGCUAGUACAUCCAAAGGUACCCGUACCGGAAACCGACGCAUGUGGGCGAGGAGAGAAUCCUGAGACGAACGGGAGAACCCUUGUUAAGGAACUCGGCAAAAUGACCCCGUAACUUCGGGAUAAGGGGUGCCUGCGAGAGCAGGCCGCAGAGAAUAGUCACAAGCGACUGUUUAGCAAAAACACAGUAUCUGCGAAAGCGAGAGCUGACGUAUAGGUGCUGACACCUGCCCGGUGCUGGAAGGUUAAGGGAACAUGUUAGAGCAAUCGAAGCAUCGAACCGAAGCCCCAGUAAACGGCGGCCGUAACGAUAACGGUCCUAAGGUAGCGAAAUUCCUUGUCGGGUAAGUUCCGACCCGCACGAAUGGUGUAACGACUUGUGAGCUGUCUCAACAGGGGGCCCGGUGAAAUUGAAGUAUGGGUGAAGAUGCCCAUUACCCGCGACUGGACGGAAAGACCCCGUAGAGCUUUACUGCAGCCUGAUAUUGAGUUUCGGUAACUGAUGCACAGGAUAGGUGGGAGUCUGAGAGACAUGGGUUUCGGCUCAUGUGGAGACGAUGUUGGGAUACCACUCUUCGGUUACUGAAAUUCUAACAUAGCUCUGUGAAACCAGAGGAUGGACAGUGUCAGGUGGACAGUUUGACUGGGGCGGUCGCCUCCGAAAGAGUAACGGAGGCGCCCAAAGGUACCCUCAGAAUGGAUGGAAACCAUUCGAAGAGCGCAAAGGCAGAAGGGUGCCUGACUGCGAGAUUGACAAAUCGAGCAGAGACGAAAGUCGGGCUUAGUGAUCCGGCGGUAUUGAGUGGAAAAGCCGUCGCUUAACGGAUAAAAGCUACCUCGGGGGUAACAGGCUGAUCUCCCCCAAGAGUCCACAUCGACGGGGAGGUUUGGCACCUCGAUGUCGGCUCGUCGCCUCCUGGGGCUGAAGCAGGUCCCAAGGGUUUGGCUGUUCGCCAAUUAAAGCGGCACGCGAGCUGGGUUCAGAACGUCGUGAGACAGUUCGGUCCCUAUCCAUCGUGGGCGUAGGAGUCAUGAGAGGAGCUGUUCCUAGUACGAGAGGACCGGAAUGGACGCACCACUGGUGCAACUGUUGUCGUGCCAACGGCAUAGCAGGGAAGCGAAGUGCGGGUGGGAUAAACGCUGAAGGCAUCUAAGCGUGAAGCCCACCUCAAGAAUAAGACUCCACAAUAGACCCCUGGAGGACUACCAGGUAGAUAGGUCAUCGGUGGAAGCGCUGUAAGGUGUGUAGCUUGAUGAUACUAAUCGGUCGAAAGCUUC
rnacentral:rRNA from 1 species